CAGGUGGGGGAGAAAGGGAGGAGGAAGGUUCAUCUCUUGAAAACAUAGCAGCAGGAUAAAAGCCAUGUGUACAUUUAAGCUGGAGACAAAGGGUUUUUUUUGGUUGGUUUGCUGGUUGGUUUGUUUGUUUUUUGAGGGCUCAGAGCAGCAUCAUUCCAGACACGCAAUGUUCUUUGUUGUGCUGAACAUUAUCCAGGUUGGCUUCCAACGGUGUUUGUCUCCCUACACCUCAAAUGCCAUGGGAUGGUUCUGCACCUUUCAUGGAAGGCUGGCAGGUUACUCACAGAGAAGGUGUUAGCAUUGACCACAUAUUAACCCACCAACUUCUGCUAUCAAAAAACCAGACAGUGUGUCAGCCAGCAAAUACCAGAUAUUACAGGAUUUUAGGCUUGUGAAUAGCAAAAGUUGUGGGAAGACACAAGCAACUGUAUAUUCCCAUUGUGGUCCACAUUAAACACUCAAAAGACUAAGGAGGUCAAGAAUGCAUUUUGAGUCUCCAAAACACUUCAAUACAUUGAUUAAACAAGCAGUAUUCAGGGUUGUAUGCAAUUCCUAAGUAACAUUUUUAAGGUAAAACCAAAAAAAUAACUUGCAUCCAAACCUUUUCAUCAAAGAAAUUUCAGGUUUCCUUAUUUUAGUAAACGAGAAAAGCAUAUUUUUAAUAUUUUAAGUGUCUAGUAAAACUGCCAAUCUAUUUUCUUUUGUGAAGAUCUGAUAUCUGAUGAAUGGAACAUUUCAGCUUGCUGCGCUUACCCCAGCCCUGCAGACCUAACAGAUCAUGCUUCUCCCAUGAUUGGCUGUCUGUCUUUCCUGUCCAGUGCAGUACAGCACAGACUGGGCUGUGUUUGAAAUGUGUUUGGUUCCGCAGGAAGCACAACAUAAGUCAAAGCAAAGGGAGGCCAAGGUUUCAUAGACAGUUUUGAAAAUAAGGUGCAAGAGUAACCAGCAAAUAACAUGCACUGGGGCAUGACUUACCUGACUAAUUUCAGGGUACACCAGCUGAUCUAUCCAAGCACAGCACCUUCUGUGUCAGCCUGAUUUUUGCGAUUUUCACAGCACAUGAUAAAAGAGAGGCAGCAUCAAACCACAUCUAAGAACAAACCAAUCUAAAGUAUUACUGAGUGUCUCACAAAUCUCAGUUAGAAUUUAAACAUAUGGAACUCAGUUCAUCCCCUGAGUGCUUCUGGACUUCAUGAGGGAGAGAAAAGCCCUAAGAGUCUAAGACUAAGGUGUGAUCAAAUUCAACAUCUGCACUGCAUCAUUUCACAUAACCUAGAAAGAGUUUAUUUUUGAGGAUGGAGCUUAUCAGUAGUCCCUCUUUUCAUUAUUCUUCCUGGUUCUCCCCCUGUGCAUAGUGAGCCUUUUGCGGCAUCAACCACAUGUAUUACAUUGUGGUAGUGGUUAAAUACAAAGCUUAGCAAUCCAUUGAAAAGCACCAGGGUUAUUACUCUGGACUAUUUCAGAAGCAACAGCUGGUGCUGAGAAGUUAAGGGAAUAAAUGCUGCCAACUCAAGUCCCCUUCUUUCCCCCUUGUUUUAUUUCAGCAAAGAAACAAACCCCUCAAACAAACAGAAGUCCUCCUGCUUAACAAACACUUUCUCCCUCAAAAUUGUUUUGAGACAGAGAAAGGCAGUAGUGGCAGCUGCUGGCUGAAAGGAGCAACUGCCUUUUUCCUUCUAAGUGGAAUUAUGGAUGGGUACACCAGAUGACAGAGAAACAAGCACACAUCUGUACUGACUGCCAAGAGGUGGCAUAGAAGCACUGCUGGGACAGCCCGUGACGGAUCACCCAUAACAAAUCAUCUCUGAGCUGCCAGUGGCUUUGGAGUCACAGCUGCUCUUGUCAUCGCUGGGAGGAAUAAAGCUCUACACAGUUGGCUGCAGCUGGCAGUCCUGACCCUCACAGCAGCAGCAAGAAAGAAUCAUCACUCUCUCCCUGUCUCUUUGGAGAUAAAUCUUCCCUCCAUCUAUCCUGCUUUGAAGAGAUGUGAGGACAAGAAAAUAAAAUAAGAUUUAAAACCUCUUUUGAUCAAAAUUGAAGAAGAAUCUCUUGUGAGGUGAUUUCAAGGAAGACAAAGAGGAAUGCUGAUCACAUCUGUUCAUGCUCUGUGUCCCUCUUAGUAUGGCUGGGUUGCUUUUCUCUUGACUGUCAUGUUGAUAGCAAUGGGAAGACUGAAAUGGGAGCAUAACUAGACUGCCUGUCCUAUAUAUAAAUUAACAUUUUAUAUGGUGUUUCACUGUGAUUAUUUGCUUUCAAAUGUCCUCUGCACUUGGAAUAAUAAUUACCAGUGGCUUUUAUUAACUUAUAUAUCCCACAGAUAUUAAAAGGAAUAUGACUAAUGGAAAUAAAAACUCAACAACUUGUGAUAUCUAGAUAACAACUAGUGAAGACUUAGACCAAUUGCAUAUUUUUAACUGCAGUGACUUGUAUUUUAGUUAUCUUAGUCCAUUAAAUAGAUCACCAUGUUUACUUUUCAGUUAUCACCCAGCAUAUUGCUGCAGGCAUAUUUCAAAGAAAAUUUUAAACACUGUUCAAACUACAUAGAUGUAUUUUUCUAAAAAGUUUCUCAGUGUUUGAGAAAAUACAUGUAAUGACACAUCCAACAGUUUUACUAUGCCUAUUUUAGGCAGAACACCUUUGUUUUGAUUUUUAGAUGCCUACUACUCUUCCUUUGAAAUUCAUGUCUCUUGUGAGAUACAGUCUUAUCUCUCAAAAAUAAUUAGGAUUGACAAUAAUCAUGCAAUUGUUAUAAUCUCAGACUAAAAAUGUAUGGUGGGUUGACCCUGGAUGAGCAGUAAAACUCCCACCCAAUUGCUUGCUCACUCCUACUCCCUUCCCUGAAACCAGCUGGAUAGGGGAGAAAAUAAGAAGGCCCAGAUUAAACAAGCUCAUGAGUAGAUAUAAAGAAAUUCCCAAUUCCUGUUGGUAGAAAACUAGACUUUACUCAGGGAAAUUAACUUAAUUUAUUGUCAGUUGAGAUAAGCGUUUGGGCACUGACUUGGAUAACAACAAACAACCAACUUUUGGGGAAGGGAGGGGGCUGCCCCACAAUGGAGCACCUCUGCCUCCUCCAACCUUGCUGUUCCUCUGCUGCUUCUCACUCCUUUUGUUCCCUCCUCUUACCUGUGCCUUAUCUUAAAUAUGUUUCCCCAGAGGUGCCACCAGCUGCGCCCGUGUGUGCUCAGCUGUGUCCUGUGCUGGGUCCAGUUUGAAGCUGUCUGAAACCAUCCUGCAGGGCAGCGCUGGCCCCUUCCCACGGAACCCAGCCCUGCAGCUCCCCCUGCCAGCACCUGGCUACCUGCUCCACAUACAGAAGGUCAUAAUCCAGAUAGGAGGUUACAUGACACUUUUCCAUUGUUUAUCAUUCUUCCCUUUCUGAACUGUUGUCUGUACAUCUCAAGGGAAGCAAUUAAAACUAACGUGGAAAUAGUGGAAAAUGACAGAUAUUUUAGAAAACUUCUCUCCUUUUAGAAGCUGAUUAUUGUCUAAAUAUGCAGUCACACAUUAAGGAAUAGUGAGACUCUCUAGGUGCCGCUAGAUCUAACUAGAAACAUGCAGCAUCACCAGGGGAAGCCCUCAUUCUUUGCUAGGGAGUCUCCUUUCUCCAGUCAGGCAUUUCUCCUCUAAACUACAAAGAUGAAUACCCAGUUAUAAAUAGCAUAUGACUUUUUUUUUUAGAAAGUAAUGGAAAACCAUCAAAAAUACAGGUUUUCGGCAUGUGUUUGAAGCCCACUGGAAUGAAUUAGCCUUGUGCAAACCAACAAAUGGGUCUCCUCCUUAGCCAUUUAAGACUACAGUUAAUUUACAGGGCUUGGGCAUAUUUCUAAGGUACCAGACCUGGGCACGUGUGUGGCUAAAUCACGUGCCCACAAGAGACAGGGAGUCUUCAUCCUCUGGCCCUCACUUCUCCUCCCCUUGUAGGAAAGAAAGAAAAUUGGGCAUGCAGACAGAGAAAGAGCAGGAGUGUCUUCCACACAGGUCAUCAUCUGGCUGAUGGGAGAACCAGGACCUUGCCUAUUCCUCUCCAGACAUUUUGCCCUUGGUCAUUGCAUGUUUCACACAUUUAUCUCUGUAUCUAUCCAAAUUCAUCUGAAGUAGCCUUGUUUGGAACACGUCAUAGAAUGGAGAAUCCAUGAUUUCGUUGAGCUUUUUCCAAUGACAAUAAUUUUCAUCAUUAAGUGUGUCUUGCUUCUUUUUGUACUUGGCUCCAGCCCCCAGAUAUUACUGCUUGUUGUGCUUUUUCCUGCUAAAUUAAAGCACCUUUUGAUACCAGUAUUUUAAUUCAGUUAAGUUUUUUAAGAUAGUGAGAAUUACUUAAUUACACUUUUCUCUGAAAUAAGCUAAGCAGACAGAUCUCUUGCUGUGAGGCAUUUUCUUCCAUAUUUGAAGUAUAGUCUUUCAAUACUCUCCCUUCUUGUAAGACAGCUUAGAAGCCUGGCCAGCAGUAACAAACCCAGUAUUUUAUCAGGUGAAAUUAAUUCCCUCCUCCCACUGCCCUACUUACAAACCUGAGGAUUGUACUAGCUCUUUUUGCAGGAAGAUCUCAGGAUUGCUAACAUCCCCUACUGAGGUGCCUGCUUUAACCUGUGCCUCCAAAUCAGUUCUGCAGCUCUUAGAGCUAAAUUACUGAUUUUGAAGACAUGACCACAUUCCUUGCUCCUAAAUGCACAGCUUUACAUUUGCCUGCAUUAAAAAUGCAUUUAGUCAGCAAUGUUUUAUUGCCUUGUUCUUAGUGCUAUUCGCCUUUCUGGCAGUUUUAUGCCAUGUACAGAUUUGAUCAACCACAGUGCUGUAUCUGCUUUUGAGCCCUCUUUACUGUCAGAUCUAGCACUUGUCUCUGCAAAAUCCCACCAGAAAUGCUCCACUCAGCAAGGAUUCCACAUUGCAGGCUACUUUGUAAGAUUCCUAGUUUCAUUCACAAUCCAUUUAAAGCCCAUCUCAUUAGCAUGAGCUAUUGCCAAUUUCUUUAUUGAAACCCCAGGCACUAUUUUAUCAUAUGCCCUGUGAAUGAAUUUUAUCUACAAAUUGAGGUAAUAACCUCAAAUAAUAGUGUCAAAGGACACCGUGGGAUAACAACUCUUUUUUUUUUUCCCUCCAGAAUAACAUAAAACAUAAAACUACUUUCUCAAGGUUUACAUCCUCAUGCUCCAGUUUUCAACUGACUAGAGUAUAAUCAUUAUUUUGCCCUCAUGGCUGGUCUUCUUCCUGCUGUCUAUAUUCUUUUUCCAAAUAUUGUUAGCUAAGAAUAUUGUCAGGCUCCUAGAAUAUAUAAAGCGGUAUAAAAUACAUUUAAACUGCCCACCAGUUGGAUGGAAUUCUCUUCAGCCUACUUUGUGCCACUCUUGAUGACACACUAGUCUAGUCUCAACUUUUCAAAAGAGAUUGAAACAGGUUGAACUGACCCAGAUCAGUUCUGGUUACUACUGCAAGUCAUGAAUUAUACUGAGGAAUGAGUUUGGUAGGAGACCUAAUUUUGUGCUUGAUUUACCCAUGUAUUUGAGCAUAAGAGGAAGGAAGGAGUUAACUGUGCUUAAGUCUAGCAAUAUGUUCUCCCACAGUAAGUAGUGUGUGAUACCAUCUUGCAUUGCUCAGGGUGACAAAUAGAGCUGGUAGACUCCCACAUUUUUUCUCAAAGUUAGCUCAUGUACUUUGUACCUCAUGUACUUUGGAGAGAGAUGGUUUUCUUUAGAGCUAAAACUGCAGAAUUGGCUCCAGAACUUUGAAUCUCUUGAUACACUGCCUAAUGCCUCUGUACUUUCCUUAUGUGAGAAAGGAAUUUCUUUAGAAGCAUUUAAUUAGGGGACUGUACAGUAUGUUUCAAACUGUAGUAGGAUUCCAUCCAGUUACUGCUGUCCACAAGAGAGAGCUGAGAAGUAUUAAAAUUACAGUCCUUUGGAUCCCAGUUUAUACCAAAUCUAUGUCCUGGGUACUCCUUGUUGCAUCUGUACCAUGAGCAAUCCAGCAUAACAAUUUGCUUUCUCACAUCUCAGCACUGCUCUCGAGACUCAAAAUUCUUUGAUGAUCCACGCUGUCUCUUUCUGGCUGCUUGUGGGUGUUACUGUCUGGUCCUUCAGGGAAUGAGUAUUCCUCCCACUAGUUUCCUGAAACCCACUGCUUUGCAGUCCCAUGUGACUUCUGUUGCAGCAAGGAUCUGUGUCACUUUAUUUUUGUGACAUACUGUAAGACAUUGUUGCAGCCUGCAGUUCUCUGAUCUCUGGCUUUCCAGAGGUUAUAUUCAGUCUCUGCUGCUGCAGUCUGUAUCUUUGUUCAUCACCUGCUCGACAGGAAAGUUCCCCUCUCAGUGAAUUCAGGCAGGCCCAAUGAAUUAGGGUGAACUGUCCUGCUUUCCUUUCCUACCACAGGUGCACCUCAGGAACUGCUGUUUGCUUUGUGGAUGUUUUCAUUCUUGUGGUGUCAUGAAAAGCCCCUCCCCACCCUUGCCACCCCCUCCAUCCUUACCGUCACCAAUAGAUAAAUUCCUUUGAAGCUCUCUGGUAUGCUCAGUGUAACACAGCUGAAAAGCCAAAGUGUUGUGUUGAAGUUGGUUUUAUUUUGAUUUUUUGUACUUUUUGAUUGACUCAA